UGCCAGCCGCCGCGGUAAUACGGAGGAUCCAAGCGUUAUCCGGAAUCAUUGGGUUUAAAGGGUCCGCAGGCUGUUGUUUAAGUCAGAGGUGAAAGUUUGCAGCUCAACUGUAAAAUUGCCUUUGAUACUGGAUGACUUGAGUUAUAAUGAAGUGGUUAGAAUAUGUAGUGUAGCGGUGAAAUGCAUAGAUAUUACAUAGAAUACCGAUUGCGAAGGCAGAUCACUAAUUAUAUACUGACGCUGAGGGACGAAAGCGUGGGGAGCGAACAGGAUUAGAUA
rnacentral:rRNA from 1 species